UAGGGAAUCUUCCACAAUGGACGCAAGUCUGAUGGAGCAACGCCGCGUGAGUGAAGAAGGUUUUCGGACCGUAAAGCUCUGUUGUUGGUGAAGAAGGAUAGGGGUAGUAACUGGCCUUUAUUUGACGGUAAUCAACCAGAAAGUCACGGCUAACUACGUGCCAGCAGCCGCGGUAAUACGUAGGUGGCAAGCGUUGUCCGGAUUUAUUGGGCGUAAAGCGAGCGCAGGCGGAAGAAUAAGUCUGAUGUGAAAGCCCUCGGCUUAACCGAGGAAUUGCAUCGGAAACUGUUUUCUGAGUGCAGAAGAGGAGAGUAGAACUCCAUGUGUAGCGGUGGAAUGCGUAGAUAUAUGGAAGAAUACCAGUGGCGAAGGCGGCUCUCUGGUCUGCAACUGACGCUGAGGCUCGAAAGCAUGGGUAGCGAACAGGAUUAGAUACCCUGGUAGUCCAUGCCGUAAACGAUGAGUGCUAAGUGUUGGGAGGCUUCCGCCUCUCAGUGCUGCAGCUAACGCAUUAAGCACUCCGCCUGGGGGAGUACGACCGCAAGGUUGAAAC
rnacentral:rRNA from 1 species